AUAUAUGAAAAAGAAAAAGAUGAAUAAAAUAUAAGAGAGGAAAAAAUGAAGAAGAAAAUAGAUUAAAAAAAAUGAUAAAGGAAAUAGAUGAGAAAGAAAAAUGAUGAAGAAAAUAUGUUAGAAAAGAAAAGAAUGAGUAAAAUGAAUGAGAAUGAAAAAUAUGAAGAAAUUGAAAGAAGAGAAGAAAGAGAAAAAAUAAGUAAUAGUUUAUAUAAGGGAAUUAGUAACCGAUUAACGGUUGCUAAUUUCUUUUAAAAAU
rnacentral:misc_RNA from 1 species